rnacentral:rRNA from 1 species
UACAGAGGGUGCGAGCGUUAAUCGGAAUUACUGGGCGUAAAGCGCACGUAGUCGGCUUUGCAAGUCGGGUGUGAAAUCCCCGGGCUCAACCUGGGAACUGCAUCCGAGACUGCAUUGCUAGAGUAUGGGAGAGGGAAGCGGAAUUUCUGGUGUAGCAGUGAAAUGCGUAGAUAUCAGAAGGAACAUCAGUGGCGAAGGCGGCUUUCUGGCUGCUAACUGACGCUGAGGCGCGAAGGCUGGGGGUAGCGAACAGG